rnacentral:rRNA from 1 species
AUUGAACGCUGGCGGCAGGCCUAACACAUGCAAGUCGAGCGGAUGAAGGGAGCUUGCUCCUGGAUUCAGCGGCGGACGGGUGAGUAAUGCCUAGGAAUCUGCCUGGUAGUGGGGGAUAACGUCCGGAAACGGGCGCUAAUACCGCAUACGUCCUGAGGGAGAAAGUGGGGAUUCUCGGGCCCAACGCUAUCAGGUUGGCCUAGGUCGGAUUAGCUAGUUGGUGGGGUAAAGGCCUACCAAGGCGACGAUCCGUAACUGGUCUGAGAGGAUGAUCAGUCACACUGGAACUGAGACACGGUCCAGACUCCUACGGGAGGCAGCAGUGGGGAAUAUUGGACAAUGGGCGAAAGCCUGAUCCAGCAAUGCCGCGUGUGUGAAGAAGGUCUUCGGAUUGUAAAGCACUUUAAGUUGGGAGGAAGGGCAGUAAGUUAAUACCUGGCUGUUUUGACGUUACCAACAGAAUAAGCACCGGCUAACUUCGUG